rnacentral:rRNA from 1 species
UACGUAGGGUGCAAGCGUUGUCCGGAAUUAUUGGGCGUAAAGAGCUCGUAGGCGGUUUGUUGCGUCGGCUGUGAAAUCCCGAGGCUCAACCGUCGGGUCUGCAGUCGAUACGAGCAAACUAGAGUGUUGCAGGGGAGACUGGAAUUCCUGGUGUAGCGGUGAAAUGCGCAGAUAUCAGGAGGAACACCGGUGGCGAAGGCGGGUCUCUGGGCAACAACUGACGCUGGAGGAGCGAAAGCGUGGGGAGCGAACAGG